rnacentral:rRNA from 1 species
GUGUCAGCAGCCGCGGUAAUACAGAGGGUGCAAGCGUUGUUCGGAAUUACUGGGCGUAAAGCGCGUGUAGGUGGCGAUGUAAGUCGGGUGUGAAAUCCCUCAGCUUAACUGAGGAAGUGCACUCGAUACUGUGUCGCUUGAGUGUUGGAGGGGAUGGCGGAAUUCCCGGUGUAGAGGUGAAAUUCGUAGAUAUCGGGAGGAACACCUGUGGCGAAGGCGGCCAUCUGGACAACUACUGACACUGAGACGCGAAAGCGUGGGUAGCAAACAGGAUUAGAUACCCUGGUAGUCC